UCAGUCUUCACAUGCCACAAUGAAUGCUCCACACUCCCUAAGCCACUCAACUAGCCGCCAGUUACAACGCUUCGGAAAAGCUAGUCAUCAUGUUUUUAUUAACUGCUACCUCAAUCCAAUUGCACAUGCCAAAAUCAAACUUUUCGGUGAUACUCCGUUUCCGGUGUUCAACACAAUACUGUUGCUUAUCGAAAACACUUCUUCUCCUCGCCAUUACCAACAUGAGCUCACAAUCAUCAACUGCUUCCAGCACUAUAAGUCCUUCGUAACUUUUUCCUGUAUAUCAUUUCAUCAACUUCUCCCAACGAAAUAAGGCAUACACUUAUCAGAUCACCCAUCAUCUACAAGUUUGUUGUUGCGUUCCACAACGACAAGGACGUCAUUGAAAUACUGUCCUUUUACCACCGACAGUGGACACCACACUAUCCGCAAUUUGUCCACUUCAAAUACAAUGGAGGCACUCACCAAAUCAAAGUCAGGCAACACCGCGACAAAUUUUUCUUUGCUAAUGGACUCAAGGACUUUAGAAUGGACUUAAAUAUUUAUGAAUCCACUACCAUCAAUUGUUAUGCUUGCGACCAAAACUGGAUAUUUAACUUGCACUUCACCCCAACCCUAGAAUAGAAAACGUGCGGAAGACCUCGACUAAUUACAAGAAAAUAUGUAUGGACUGUGGAAGUGACUCAAUCUGUGCUCAGUGCCCCUUAUCCACUGGCACUUCUACCCUCUGUUGUACCCUAUGUUGAUGCAUGUGCUUAACAUAUGACAAUCCUCAAAAAACAUGCCCCUCCCCUUCAAUGGAGCGUUAGCGUCAAUGACCCUGGCAUUGACGAAAAAUGCAUUGUUCGACCUUGGUAUCAGUUUUUGGCAGACAAUGACUUCAUCCAUGGAGAUGAAAUUUCAUUUUACUUCAGGCCUUUUGAUAAAGUCUGGGAAAUGGUUAUCAGAAGACAACAAGAUUGGGAAGACACUGACUCAGAUUAAAUUUGCUUAUAGUUUGUUUCAUUUACAAACAAUAUUUUGUAUGUUUUAUCAUAAUAUUAUUAUAAACAUUCAGUUCUUUUUUUGUGGGGUACA